CUACCAUGCAGUCUAUUUGCAAUCUGGUGCUUGCACCAGAUGGAGGAUGGCGAACGGGUGAGUAACGCGUAGACAACCUGCCCUUCAGUCCGGGACAACCCUGUGAAAACGGGACUAAGACCGGAUGGUAUCAUCGCCUCGCAUGGGGCUUUGAUUAAAGAUCUCGAAUCGCUGAAGGAUGGGUCUGCGUGACAUUAGCUAGUUGGUGGGGUAACUGCCUACCAAGGCUUCGAUGUCUAGCUGGUCUGAGAGGAUGAUCAGCCACACUGGGACUGAGAUACGGCCCAGACUCCUACGGGAGGCAGCAGUGAGGAAUAUUGCGCAAUGGGGGCAACCCUGACGCAGCAACGCCGCGUGUGUGAAGAAGCAGUUUUCUGUGUAAAACACUGUUAAUCGGGACGAAAGGAUUGGUUUGCAGCCGAUCUUGACUGUACCGGUAGAGGAAGCUCCGGCUAACUCCGUGCCAGCAGCCGCGGUAAUACGGGGGGAGCGAGCGUUGUCCGGAAUCAUUGGGCGUAAAGGGCAUUCAGGUGGGUCUUUAAGUCAGUUGUUAAAUCUUACGGCUUAACCGUAUUCUGCAAUUGAUACUGGAGAUCUUGAGUUUGAGAGGGGACAGUGGAAUACCUAGUGUAGCGGUGGAAUGCGUAGAUAUUAGGUAGAACACCUGAGGCGAAGGCGACUGUCUGGCUCAUAACUGACACUGAAGUGCGAAAGCAUGGGUAGCGAACAGGAUUAGAUACCCUGGUAGUCCAUGCCGUAAACGAUGGGUACUAGUUGUCGGGGGACUAACCCCCUCGGUGGCGCCGCUAACGCUUUAAGUACCCCGCCUGGGGGAGUACGAUCGCAAGGUUGAAACUCAAAGGAAUUGACGGGGCCCCGCACAAGCGGUGGAGCAUGUGGUUUAAUUCGAUGCAACGCGAAGAACCUUACCUGCGCUUGAACUGCAUUUGCCACUCCAGAGAUGGAGCCUUUCCAGCAUGGACAGAUGCGGAGUGCUGCAUGCUGUCGUCAGCUCGUGUCGUGAGAUGUUGGGGUAGUCCCGCACGAGCGCACCCUUAUCAUAGUUGCAGCGCGUCAUGGCGGGGACUCUAAUGAGACUGCCCGGUACCACGAG
rnacentral:rRNA from 1 species